GACGAACGCUGGCGGCGUGCUUAACACAUGCAAGUCGAACGGAAAGGCCCUGCUUUUGUGGGGUGCUCGAGUGGCGAACGGGUGAGUAACACGUGAGUAACCUGCCCUUGACUUUGGGAUAACUUCAGGAAACUGGGGCUAAUACCGGAUAGGAGCUCCUGCUGCAUGUUGGGGGUUGGAAAGUUUCGGCGGUUGGGGAUGGACUCGCGGCUUAUCAGCUUGUUGGCGGGGUAGUGGCUUACCAAGGGUUUGACGGGUAGCCGGCCUGAGAGGGUGACCGACCACAAUGGGACUGAGAGACGGCCCAGACUCCUACGGGAGGCAGAAGUGGGGAAUAUUGCACAAUGGGCGGAAGCCUGAUGCAGCAACGCCGCGUGCGGGAUGACGGCCUUCGGGUUGUAAACCGCUUUCGCCUGUGACGAAGCGUGAGUGACGGUAAUGGGUAAAGAAGCACCGGCUAACUACGUG
rnacentral:rRNA from 1 species